GGGGAUGACAGGCUUCGACGAUUGAAGCUGGUCACGGACUGCGAGCCGAGCGGCGCCGACCUCGUAAACUCAGCGCAAAACCUAAGUGCCAACAGCACUAACUACGCUGCUCUCCCCCUCGCCGCCUAAACGGUAAGGGAUGACAGCCCCGGCCGCUAAUACCGGCCGCGCCCACCGCCUCCCUCGCUCUGGCAGGGAACGGCUGGGCGUCACAAUGCCAGAGUGCUGCCGGCUACACCGCUAACCCGGCCUAAGGCCGCAAGGCACAGCGGUUCGCCCUUGGGUGUGGGUGGUCUCAGGUCCACCCCCUGGGCUAAAUAAUCCAGAGACUACGCUCGUAGACGUUCGCUGACUUAAUCUUUCGGACGCGGGUUCGAUUCCCGCCAUCUCCACCU
rnacentral:tmRNA from 1 species